AUGCUUCCCUGGAUGGAGUUAAUGGGUGAUCAAUAAGAUCCAUCGCCUAGGCUGGUGACUUCCAUUGCACUCUGGAAGGGUGCUUGUUUAAGGUCGGUCCAAGUGGUUGAGUCUACAUCAUAAUUUGUGAUAGUGGGGGCCAGUGUUGAGAUUCUAG